AACGAACGCUGGCGGCAGGCUUAACACAUGCAAGUCGAACGCGUGUAGCAAUACACGAGUGGCGCACGGGUGAGUAACGCGUGGAUAUCUGCCUUUUGGUUCGGAAUAACCCCGGGAAACUGGGGCUAAUACCGGAUGGUUCCUUCGGGAUAAAGAUUUAUCGCCAAAAGAUGAGUCCGCGUACGAUUAGAUAGUUGGUGAGGUAAUGGCUCACCAAGGCGACGAUCGUUAGCUGGUCUGAGAGGACGAUCAGCCACACUGGGACUGAGACACGGCCCAGACUCCUACGGGAGGCAGCAGUGGGGAAUAUUGGACAAUGGGGGCAACCCUGAUCCAGCCAUGCCGCGUGAGUGAUGAAGGCCUUCGGGUUGUAAAGCUCUUUUGGCGGGGACGAUGAUGACGGUACCCGCAGAAUAAGCCCCGGCUAACUUCGUGCCAGCAGCCGCCGUAAUAC
rnacentral:rRNA from 1 species